UCGCUCCUACCGAUUGAAUGAU
rnacentral:siRNA from 1 species